rfam:Cavia porcellus supercont2_11 genomic scaffold, whole genome shotgun sequence.
GGAGAUUUAGCUCAGUGGUAUAAGCACCUGCCUUGGAAGUAGGCGGUCAUGAGUUCGAUCCCCACUACCA